GCAUUAUACCGCGAAACUGCGAAUGGCUCAUUAUAUAAGUUAUCGUUUAUUUGAUAGUACCUUACUACUUGGAUAACCGUGGUAAUUCUAGAGCUAAUACAUGCUAAAAAUCCCGACUUCGGAAGGGAUGUAUUUAUUAGAUUAAAAACCAAUGCCCUUCGGGGCUCCUUGGUGAUUCAUGAUAACUUCUCGAAUCGCAUGGCCUUGUGCCGGCGAUGGUUCAUUCAAAUUUCUUCCCUAUCAACUUUCGAUGUUUGGGUCUUGGCCAAACAUGGUUGCAACGGGUAACGGAGGGUUAGGGCUCGACCCCGGAGAAGGAGCCUGAGAAACGGCUACUACAUCCAAGGAAGGCAGCAGGCGCGCAAAUUACCCAAUCCCGACUCGGGGAGGUAGUGACAAUAAAUACUGAUACAGGGCUCUUUUGGGUCUUGUAAUUGGAAUGAGUACAAUUUAAAUCCCUUAACGAGGAACAAUUGGAGGGCAAGUCUGGUGCCAGCAGCCGCGGUAAUUCCAGCUCCAAUAGCGUAUAUUAAAGUUGUUGUGGUUAAAAAGCUCGUAGUUGAACCUUGGGCCUGGCUGGCCGGUCCGCCUCACCGCGUGUACUGGUCCGGCCGGGCCUUUCCCUCUGUGGAACCCCAUGCCCUUCACUGGGUGUGGCGGGGAAACAGGACUUUUACUUUGAAAAAAUUAGAGUGCUCCAGGCAGGCCUAUGCUCGAAUACAUUAGCAUGGAAUAAUAGAAUAGGACGUGUGGUUCUAUUUUGUUGGUUUCUAGGACCGCCGUAAUGAUUAAUAGGGACAGUCGGGGGCAUCAGUAUUCAAUUGUCAGAGGUGAAAUUCUUGGAUUUAUUGAAGACUAACUACUGCGAAAGCAUUUGCCAAGGAUGUUUUCAUUAAUCAGGAACGAAAGUUAGGGGAUCGAAGACGAUCAGAUACCGUCGUAGUCUUAACCAUAAACUAUGCCGACUAGGGAUCGGACGAUGUUAUUUUUUGACUCGUUCGGCACCUUACGAGAAAUCAAAGUGCU
rnacentral:rRNA from 1 species